rnacentral:lncRNA from 1 species
UUUGAAUAUAUUUGAUUGGAGAGAGCUAGACGGUGUGUUGUCCGUGCCACACUCCCUUGAUGCAUGAGUCCACCGAUGCUUCGGCAUAAUGCACAAUGUCACUCGAGCAUCGGUGGAUAUGUAAGGGCCCAUAUCUAGAGUAUCCGAGUAGACGCCACUGCCAACGGCGCAUCGCCGUUACUAAUGUGGCCACAUCAACGAACUCAACA